UCAUUUCAGUACAAGUAUAAUGAAUUUUGAGCUAUAGCCGGCUUCACUAUAACAACUGAUGCAUAUGUGGUAGUAGAGAGGGCUUCCAAGUUCCAACCCCAAACAGUUAUUUUAUCAUAAGGCCCAACUUGCACUUCUAAUCUAAUUUGACUGUAGCAAACUUUCGCUUGGAGAUUUUGUUUUUUAGCUUCCUCUGGUUUGUCUUUUGCAUGGUAUCUUUGAUCUCAGCUACCCACAAAUCGCCCUGAUGAUGGUCUCUGUCGAACUCCCACAUAGCGUUUUCUACCUCUCUGAAGCUGAGUUCCUCCAAGUUCCAGGCACUACAUUUUAUGAAACUGGUGACACUAGAAUGCAACUAAGAGGUUGUUAACAGUUGAGGGAUAUCAUAUUUGGUAGAGUAUGGACAUUGGGGGAGGAUGCUCUUGAGGAAUGGUAACCAGAUUUCUAGUUGAGACAAGUUAGUGAGACCUUGCACAACUACAACUGGAAUAAGGAAUAAAGCUGUGAGGAGAAUACAAGCAACGAUGACAAUCAGUUGAGAUAUCCAUCUUCGCAUGAAUGAUUCAGAGAACAAAGGCCAAUAAACAUCAUGUGGCUCGGGAGCUUGCUCUGCUACCAUUUGCGUAGGAUUAU